GACGAACGCUGGCGGCGUGCUUAACACAUGCAAGUCGAACGGAAAGGCCCUGCUUUUGUGGGGUGCUCGAGUGGCGAACGGGUGAGUAACACGUGAGUAACCUGCCCUUGACUUUGGGAUAACUUUAGGAAACUGGGGCUAAUACCGGAUAGGAGCUCCUGCUGCAUGGUGGUGGUUGGAAAGUUUCGGCGGUUGGGGCUAGACUCGCGGCUUAUCAGCUUGUUGGUGAGGUAGUGGCUUACCAAGGUUUUGACGGGUAGCCGGCCUGAGAGGGUGACCGGCCACAUUGGGACUGAGGUACGGCCCAGACUCCUACGGGAGGCAGCAGUGGGGAAUAUUGCACAAUGGGCGGAAGCCUGAUGCAGCAACGCCGCGUGCGGGAUGACGGCCUUCGGGUUGUAAACCGCUUUCGCCUGUGACGAAGCGUGAGUGACGGUAAUGGGUAAAGAAGCACCGGCUAACUACGUG
rnacentral:rRNA from 1 species